rnacentral:rRNA from 1 species
UCCAGACUCCUACGGGAGGCAGCAGUGAGGAAUAUUGGUCAAUGGCCGAGAGGCUGAACCAGCCAAGUCGCGUGAGGGAAGACGGCCCUACGGGUUGUAAACCUCUUUUGUCGGGGAGCAAAGCGAACCACGUGUGGUUCAUUGAGAGUACCCGAAGAAAAAGCAUCGGCUAACUCCGUGCCAGCAGCCGCGGUAAUACGGAGGAUGCGAGCGUUAUCCGGAUUUAUUGGGUUUAAAGGGUGCGCAGGCGGUCUGUUAAGCAAGGGGUCAAAGCCCGGGGCUCACCCCGGGCGAGCCGUUGAAACUGGCUGUCUUGAGAUGUCGAGAGGUAUGCGGAAUGCGCAGUGUAGCGGUGAAAUGCUUAGAUAUUGCGCAGAACUCCGAUUGCGAAGGCAGCAUGCCGGCUCCACACUGACGCUGAGGCACGAAAGCGUGGGUAUCGAACAGGAUUAGAUACCCCAGUAU